rnacentral:rRNA from 3 species
UUCUGACCGUAAACGAUGCCAACUAGCGAUCCGCCGGUGGCUACCAGGCCCUGGUGGGGAGCUUCCCGGAAACGAAAGUCUUCCGGUUCCGGGGGAAGUAUGGUUGCAAAGCUGAAACUUAAAGGAAUUGACGGAAGGGCACCACCAGGAGUGGAGCCUGCGGCUUAAUUUGACUCAACACGGGAAAACUCACCCGGCCCGGACACCGUAAGGAUUGACAGAUUGAUAGCUUUUUCAUGAUUCGGUGGUUGGUGGUGCAUGGCCGUUCUUAGUUCGUGGAUCGAUUUGUCUGGUUUAUUCCGAUAACGAGCGAGACUCCAGCCUACUAACUAGUACGAGCAUUGCCUCUGUGCUCGGCACUUCUUAGAGGGAUUGACUGCGUCUAGCGGUACGAAACGGAGCAAUAACAGGUCUGUGAUGCCCUUAGAUGUCCGGGGCUGCACGCGCGCUACACUGGCAAAGGCAACGUGCUUGUCCGUCUCCGAAAGGAGCCGGUAAACCCUUGAAAAUUUGCCGUGAUUGGGAUCGGAAAUUGCAAUUAUUUUCCGUGAACGAGGAAUUCCUAGUAAGUGCGAGUCAUCAGCUCGCGUUG